rnacentral:lncRNA from 1 species
UGAAAGAAUUCAUGUUCAGCAGGCCUCCAUGAUGUAAUACUCGAAGGAAGCUCUUGGAACAAAAGAAGGGAACUUCUGAUAUGCAAGAAAGAAUGAAGAGCUCAGGAAUAGACUACAUCACAAGAAGGUCAGGGUGCUUUCUGCUGAGUAUCGAUGAAAGCGGACAAGAAUAUAUACAGCAGAGCUCUUUUCGCUCUGUCUUCUUCAGUAAGCAAUGCUGGUGGAUUCUUCUGCAUCAACUUGGUUAAACUGAAACAACUUAUCCCAGAAUUUCUUCUGUAUAUAUUUCCAAGUUAGAGUCGGCCAAAAGAAAAAUUUGCACAAGAUCUGGAAGGUAGGAGUGAAACAGCAACCAAUAUUCUCUGAAGCUGCCAUGGUCAGAUGUAGUGAUAAACACAUGCAAAUUGCC